UUAACCUUCGAUAUGUAAUUGAUGAAUCAACAGUAUAAAAACGGAGUACAACAAAUAUUCGUAUUAUGCUGUUAUUCAUGAGUUACUAUGGAUUUAUCGUCG
rnacentral:pre_miRNA from 1 species